AAAUCCCUGGACCCAGGAUCAGGGAAGCCCAGUGGGUGUUGGUUUAGCCCAUGAGGGAUAAACAUUCAAGAAAAGGAGGACUUCCUAUGGCUGGUUCACGUUAAUGUGAGCUGAGUGCCUUGGUUCUCUGGGUCUCGCUUGCAAAAUGGCCCGAAGCCCAGGAGAUCCACCCCCUGCCCGCCGAGGCUCUCAAGCUGAUGCUCACCACCGGCACUUAGUGAAAAGCUGUCCCCAAGCCUGGCUGCUGCGAAGCUGCUGAAUUUGGACCCAGACUCCAGGGACUCUAUCCAGUGCCUUCUCUAGAACACCUGAGUCUGUCCCCACCAGACUCACCUGGGCUCCUGGCUACCUGGACCAUCUCCAGCAGACCUCAUCACUCACCACUACCUCCAGGAGCGCACAGUGGAACUCAGGGACCCAAGAAAUUGGACAGGGAAAGAAGGGCACAUCUUUUUUUU
ensembl:lncRNA